AGCUGAAAGACAAACAACUUUGUGUUGCUUGUGGAUUAUGGGGGAAAAAUCUAGUUUUCUCCACAUACGGGGAUGGCAAAAAGGCAUGGCGUAUAAAGGGGAAAAGACAGCAGUGGUGUAUGAAGAACUUCAAAACUCCCAAGUCGAAGGGUUGUAGAGAGCAGGAGAGAUAAAGCAAAGAGGUUGGAUUUUCAAUGUUAUGAUAGAAUGGAGAUGAAAGAAGCGAGUGUGUUCGGACGAAUUUGAGACUUGUUCGAAUUUUUUUUU